GGCGUUGGGGCGCGGCGAGCUGGAGGAGAAAGGAGGGUGAGUCCACGCGGCGGCCGUGAGAAGGAGGGAGGGAGAGACGACGCGGCGGCCUGGAGAGGGAGCGAGGUGUAGGACGCGGCGGCCUGUAGAGGGAGCUAGGGAGAGGACGCGACGGUCGGGAGAGAAGGAAGCUAGACGCACCUGCCGACUAGACUAAGUAGAGUAGGAGAGAGCUAGACGUCCUAUGUUCACCUUGUUCCGUUCCCGCAUCCACGAUGAGUCCGUGCCGCCGUCUCGGUUCGUGUGGGAGGAGAGGGUUCCUUUAGUAGCUCGCUCGUUCCAGGUGAAGAUCCAAGAUUGCGAGCGACGCAGGAGGGACUAAGGGUGGGAAGAGAAGAAGUAGCGCUCACGGCCGCCGCCGACCAUCUCUCCGCUCGGCUCUCCACGUCGCCCGAUGUUCACCUCUCUAGUUCGCUCUCGGUACCCGGCCUCCUAGGAGUUGCUACGCGACGCGUGCUACCACUUGCGCCUCGCCGCCCCCUUCCGAUACCGCGUUGAGGUCGGGUAGAGACCGCAGUACUAGAGCAAGGAGUUGUAGUACUUCGUGUCUCCAAUGUAUUUUUUAAAGCUCCAUAAGCUAGGUGUAUCCCAACCUUUUUAGUGGCACCUUGAAGUCCCUUCCUAAUUUCUAACGUUUCGAGAGUGAAUAUCCGUCCUGGAGUUCCGAUACCUUUAUCUUUUUAUGUCUUGAUCCUACGAAGGUUGUGCCGUCACCCCGAUACAACACCACUGGUGGGGUUUACCGCAAAAUCUAGUGCUCCUUCGUUAAUCCGUCUUACACCCGCCGGUCCAGGAGCCAAUGAAGGUAACUCUUCCUUUGUGUCAAUAGGGUACGACUUAGUCGGGACCCGACGUAAGAAAUAAAAAGACAAUACUGACUUCAGUAAAAUAAACCUGUAAAUCUCGAACGACGAAAACAAGUACCGGUUAUCUUUACCCUAAUGUACAGUUUUCAUACACCGCUGUGACUGUAUUUAUAACAUUAGGAAGAAACCCUGUACAUCAAACUCUAUGUGCUCAUUGUGAGAUCAAGCUCGUAGAUACUAGAACGACUCUUGGAACAGCGUCGGUGAAGAGAUAUUGGCUCCUAAAUUUUGUGCGACAAUUAAUACGUGAAUUGUACCACAAGUACUGUCGAGUAGGGGAGGCGUCGACUUCCCUCUGACCCCUCUAGCUUCGUCCCCUCCGGCUCCGCCUUCUCGAAACUCUCUUUGGACCCAACUUUACAUACGCCUAUCACAACCUACGGACCGAGGGUGUAGGGACAGGCACCUCGUC
rnacentral:rRNA from 1 species